UGGGGAAUUUUGGACAAUGGGCGAAAGCCUGAUCCAGCAAUGCCGCGUGUGUGAAGAAGGCCUUCGGGUUGUAAAGCACUUUUGUCCGGAAAGAAAUCCUUGGCUCUAAUACAGUCGGGGGAUGACGGUACCGGAAGAAUAAGCACCGGCUAACUACGUGCCAGCAGCCGCGGUAAUACGUAGGGUGCAAGCGUUAAUCGGAAUUACUGGGCGUAAAGCGUGCGCAGGCGGUUUGCUAAGACCAAUGUGAAAUCCCCGGGCUCAACCUGGGAACUGCAUUGGUGAACUGGCAGGCUAGAGUAUGGCAGAGGGGGGUAGAAUUCCACGUGUAGCAGUGAAAUGCGUAGAGAUGUGGAGGGAUACCGAUGGCGAAGGCAGCCCCCUGGGCCAAUACUGACGCUCAUGCACGAAAGCGUGGGGAGCAAACAGGAUU
rnacentral:rRNA from 1 species